AGUAAUACUUAGGAAUCUACCUAGUAGUGGGGGAUAGCACGGGGAAACUCGUAUUAAUACCGCAUACGACCUACGGGAGAAAGGGGGCAGUUUACUGCUCUCGCUAUUAGAUGAGCCUAAGUCGGAUUAGCUAGAUGGUGGGGUAAAGGCCUACCAUGGCGACGAUCUGUAGCUGGUCUGAGAGGAUGAUCAGCCACACCGGGACUGAGACACGGCCCGGACUCCUACGGGAGGCAGCAGUGGGGAAUAUUGGACAAUGGGGGAAACCCUGAUCCAGCCAUGCCGCGUGUGUGAAGAAGGCCUUUUGGUUGUAAAGCACUUUAAGCAGUGAAGAAGACUCUUCGGUUAAUACCCGGAGACGAUGACAUUAGCUGCAGAAUAAGCACCGGCUAACUCUGUGCCAGCAGCCGCGGUAAUACAGAGGGUGCAAGCGUUAAUCGGAAUUACUGGGCGUAAAGCGAGCGUAGGUGGCUUGAUAAGUCAGAUGUGAAAUCCCCGGGCUUAACCUGGGAACUGCAUCUGAAACUGUUAGGCUAGAGUAGGUGAGAGGGAAGUAGAAUUUCAGGUGUAGCGGUGAAAUGCGUAGAGAUCUGAAGGAAUACCGAUGGCGAAGGCAGCUUCCUGGCAUCAUACUGACACUGANGCUCGAAAGCGUG
rnacentral:rRNA from 1 species